CUUAGAUGUAGGAUUGGCUCUGAGAUUCAGAUUGGUGUGAUGUUUAACUCUUUAUCUGAUAAGUAUAUUCCAUUUUGAUCGAUUAUUAUGUAAACACCCUACUAUCAGUUCGAUAGAGUUGGAGAUAGACCUCUAAAAUAUGAAAGAUCAUCUGUAAAAAAAUAGUCACCAAAAAGUCUUUGCGUUCAAAUAUACCUUGGAACCAAUACCUACUGGCCACUGGGAAAGAGCAGCAAGAGGAAAAGAGCAGAUAAAGUAUGGAUUUAGGAAGUAGGCUCCGAUAAGAAGUCGAAGAAAAUAUGCUUUAACUAUCAUCAAAAGGGACGUCUAGUGAGGGACUUCACACAGUCCCCUGUGAAGAAGUCUAAUGCUGGUGAGUUACAUGCUGUUUAGUCUUAUUUAGUGGUUGAUUUUACUAAUUCCUGAAUUAUAGAUUCUGGAGCCACUAUUCAUUUAUGUAUUUUUAUUCAGGUUCUUUAGGUAACUAGAAAACUCAAUAAAGGGACAUUUCCAAUCAUCUUUGAUACAUGAGCAAUAGUUAUAGAUUUAACAAUAGGAAAUGUUUAUUUUCAUAGUUGCAGUAGUACACAUUUAAUUUUAAGAUAUUGAUAUUAUAUCCCACGGAUGAAAUGGAAUUUUGGGAAUUAUACACCUUCUGUGGUUUACAUUGGAUGGAAUUGAAACCC
rnacentral:lncRNA from 1 species